rnacentral:rRNA from 1 species
UACGUAGGGUGCAAGCGUUAAUCGGAAUUACUGGGCGUAAAGCGUGCGCAGGCGGUUCUAUAAGACAGAUGUGAAAUCCCCGGGCUCAACCUGGGAACUGCAUUUGUGACUGUAGAGCUGGAGUGCGGCAGAGGGGGAUGGAAUUCCGCGUGUAGCAGUGAAAUGCGUAGAUAUGCGGAGGAACACCGAUGGCGAAGGCAAUCCCCUGGGCCUGCACUGACGUUCAGGCACGAAAGCGUGGGGAGCAAACAGG